GAUGAACGCUGGCGGCGUGCCUAAUACAUGCAAGUCGAGCGAACGGACGAGAAGCUUGCUUCUCUGAUGUUAGCGGCGGACGGGUGAGUAACACGUGGAUAACCUACCUAUAAGACUGGGAUAACUUCGGGAAACCGGAGCUAAUACCGGAUAAUAUUUUGAACCGCAUGGUUCAAAAGUGAAAGACGGUCUUGCUGUCACUUAUAGAUGGAUCCGCGCUGCAUUAGCUAGUUGGUAAGGUAACGGCUUACCAAGGCAACGAUGCAUAGCCGACCUGAGAGGGUGAUCGGCCACACUGGAACUGAGACACGGUCCAGACUCCUACGGGAGGCAGCAGUAGGGAAUCUUCCGCAAUGGGCGAAAGCCUGACGGAGCAACGCCGCGUGAGUGAUGAAGGUCUUCGGAUCGUAAAACUCUGUUAUUAGGGAAGAACAUAUGUGUAAGUAACUGUGCACAUCUUGACGGUACCUAAUCAGAAAGCCACGGCUAACUACGUGCCAGCAGCCGCGGUAAUACGUAGGUGGCAAGCGUUAUCCGGAAUUAUUGGGCGUAAAGCGCGCGUAGGCGGUUUUUUAAGUCUGAUGUGAAAGCCCACGGCUCAACCGUGGAGGGUCAUUGGAAACUGGAAAACUUGAGUGCAGAAGAGGAAAGUGGAAUUCCAUGUGUAGCGGUGGAAUGCGCAGAGAUAUGGAGGAACACCAGUGGCGAAGGCGACUUUCUGGUCUGUAACUGACGCUGAUGUGCGAAAGCGUGGGGAUCAAACAGGAUUAGAUACCCUGGUAGUCCACGCCGUAAACGAUGAGUGCUAAGUGUUAGGGGGUUUCCGCCCCUUAGUGCUGCAGCUAACGCAUUAAGCACUCCGCCUGGGGAGUACGACCGCAAGGUUGAAACUCAAAGGAAUUGACGGGGACCCGCACAAGCGGUGGAGCAUGUGGUUUAGUUCGAAGCAACGCGAAGAACCUUACCAAAUCUUGACAUCCUUUGACAACUCUAGAGAUAGAGCCUUCCCCUUCGGGGGACAAAGUGACAGGUGGUGCAUGGUUGUCGUCAGCUCGUGUCGUGAGAUGUUGGGUUAAGUCCCGCAACGAGCGCAACCCUUAAGCUUAGUUGCCAUCAUUAAGUUGGGCACUCUAAGUUGACUGCCGGUGACAAACCGGAGGAAGGUGGGGAUGACGUCAAAUCAUCAUGCCCCUUAUGAUUUGGGCUACACACGUGCUACAAUGGACAAUACAAAGGGCAGCGAAACCGCGAGGUCAAGCAAAUCCCAUAAAGUUGUUCUCAGUUCGGAUUGUAGUCUGCAACUCGACUACAUGAAGCUGGAAUCGCUAGUAAUCGUAGAUCAGCAUGCUACGGUGAAUACGUUCCCGGGUCU
rnacentral:rRNA from 1 species